CGGGGUAUAGCUCAGCUUGGUAGAGCGUCUGGUUUGGGUCCAGAAGGUCGUCGGUUCAACUCCGGCUGCCCCGA
rnacentral:tRNA from 1 species